GCAUCUGAUUCUUUCCCACUUCUUGCAAUAUAGUGCUGGACUGGGAACACACGGUGCAGCAGGAAAGCAGAGGAAAUCCAGACAAGCUCCCUUUCACCACAGUGGGACUUGUCUCUAUGCCUUUGCAACAUUU